UACGGAGGGUGCAAGCGUUGCUCGGAAUUAUUGGGCGUAAAGGGUAGGUAGGUGGUCUCAUUUGUCUGGGGUGAAAGCCUUGAGCUUAACUCAAGAAGUGCCCCAGAAACGGUGAGACUAGAGUCCUGGAGAGGGUCGUGGAAUUCCUGGUGUAGCGGUGAAAUGCGCAGAUAUCAGGAAGAACACCCGUGGCGAAGGCGGCUCUCUGGGACGGUACUGACGCUGAGACGCGAAAGCGUGGGGAGCGAACAGG
rnacentral:rRNA from 1 species